UCACACGAUACUCAUUUUUGAUUAUAUUUUUUCGCACAAUACGUCGAUCGUCUUAACUAGUCAUUAAUUCGAUUUGCGUAAUAUCCCGCGAUAUCGAAGUAAAGUUACCGUUAUCAUUUAUAUGCGACAUUACUCGAUAUUUUAAUGUUUAUCAAUCGCGUACCUUAAGUUCAAUAUUUGUAUAUCAUUUUUAAAAUGCGUAUAUAUUUCGCGACGUUUAUUCGGAUGGAAAUCGGUCAUGCGAAUAGUCGGCAAACCUAAUUACGCUUCCGAAUAUUAAACAGUUUAUGAAUAUUGAUUUAUAAAUCAUAUAUUUAUUCACACUUAUAAUACACAAGAUAGUAAUUAGUAAUCGUCCUAAAAUAAGAUUGUAUAUCAUUUAUUAGCAAAUCAUGAAUGUCAAGGAAUGAUUGACGUGACUUCUCCUAUAUCGCAAUAAUAUAAUUAAUAAACUAACAAAGUAAUAUAAUAAAACAAUAAAGUAUGUAUACGUGCGUGAAUAAUAUCGGGAGUGUCGUGAUAAUUGUCGCGGAAUCGUUAAUUCUACUGAUUAGUACGCAUUCGAUCAUAAUUAACCGUGUUUUUGCGAGUGAUACGUAUAAGUGCGAUAUUGGAACAACCAAAGUUGAACAAGAGAGAAGGAGGAAACUCAGAGAGGGAUCGGGCAACAACGGAGCAACCGCAGGAUUCCCGUCGUGUAAUCCCGUCGUUACGAACUUACGAGACGCGGAUUAUACACCGCUAGGCAAACCCAUAACGCAAGCCUGAAUUCCGGGGCGCUCCCAAAACGGCGAAGCGGACGAUGCCGACGGAGGAAAGGGGAGACCCCACUAUUAUGGGGUCCCGCGAUUCUCAGCAGCAGCAUACCCUGCUAGGUUGCAUUGAAAUGUCGACAGAUUCACGAAAAAGGUAAGAUCCACGAUGACAUCGAAUUUUACCGCAAUUAUGUAGCGUUUGAAGGCAAUAUCGCGAAUUCACGCUCGACGAAGCAUACGCUCGUCUUCCCUUUCUAGACCCCACUUCUUGGCGUCUACUUGUGCUACCUCUUCCGACAAGAAUCCACCGACUCAAGUCGUCCCGAUGAUUCAACUCGAUGCGUCGAUGUCGAGUUUUCUCCUGGGAGU